rnacentral:rRNA from 1 species
GCCUAAAGCGUCCGUAGCCGGCUCUGUAAGUUUUCGGUUAAAUCUGUACGCUUAACGUACAGGCUGCCGGGAAUACUGCAGAACUAGGGAGUGGGAGAGGUAGACGGUACUCGGGAGGAAGUGGUAAAAUGCUUUGAUCUCUCGAUGACCACCUGUGGCGAAGGCGGUCUACCAGAACACGUCCGACGGUGAGGGAUGAAAGCUGGGGGAGCAAACCGGAUUAGAUACCCGGGUAGUCCCAGCUGUAAACUAUGCAAACUCAGUGAUGCAUUGGCUUGUGGCCAGUGCAGUGCCGCAGGGAAGCCGUUAAGUUUGCCGCCUGGGAAGUACGUACGCAAGUAUGAAACUUAAAGGAAUUGGCGGGGGAGCACCACAAGGGGUGAAGCCUGCGGUUCAAUUGGAGUCAACGCCAGAAAUCUUACCCGGAGAGACAGCAGGAUGAAGGUCAAGCUGAAGACUUUACCAGACAAGCUGAGAAGUGGUGCAUGGCCGUCGCCAGCUCGUGCCGUGAGGUGUCCUGUUAAGUCAGGUAACGAGCGAGAUCCUUGCCUCUAGUUGCCACCAUUACUCUCAGGAGUAGUGGGGCGAAUUAGCGGGACUGCCGUAGUUAAUACGGAGGAAGGAGAGGGCCACGGCAGGUCAGUAUGCCCCGAA